GACGUAACUGGGCCUGGUAACUCCACCACCGUUGGCGUGAUGUCACACCGCCAACGGGGGCAGAGUUCCUUCUCCUAGUUGCGAG
rfam:Papilio xuthus contig5710, whole genome shotgun sequence.